ACGGUCAUGUCCAAACAAACCCGGCCGCUCAGAGUUACAGGCACCGUACAGAACAUUAAAGACUAAAGAAUGGUCAAAGUCGGGGACCAAAUCCCGGAUCGAGUUCUGCAACUAGGUCGUCCAGGCCCCAUGGCCAUCAUUCUGCACAUUAUCCUCUAAUUUUUCUUAGGUAGGGACGCUUAGCUCGCAGGAUUCGCUGCUGCUUUUGAUUCUCUGGAG
rnacentral:misc_RNA from 1 species